rnacentral:tRNA from 1 species
GCUUUCGUAACUCAACUGGACAGAGUACCUGAUUACGAAUCAGAUUGUUGGGGGUUCGAAUCCCUCCGAAAGCGCCA